GGGUCAAAGAUGACAAAUUAUAUGGUCUCCGAGAGAGAUGAUGACCUAAAAAUCAUGCUCAAUAGGAUUAUGCUGAGACCC
ensembl:snoRNA SNORD115 Small nucleolar RNA SNORD115